GAUGAAGAACGUAGUAAAAUGCGAGAAGUAAUGUGAAUUGCAGAAUUCAGUGAAUCAUCGAAUCUUUGAACGCACAUUGCGCCCGCUGGUAUUCCGGCGGGCAUGCCUGUUCGAGCGUCAUUUCAACCCUCAAGCCCCCGGGUUUGGUGUUGGGGAUCGGCUCUGCCCUUCUGGGCGGUGCCGCCCCCGAAAUACAUUGGCGGUCUCGCUGCAGCCUCCAUUGCGUAGUAGCUAACACCUCGCAACUGGAACGCGGCGCGGCCAUGCCGUAAAACCCCAACUUCUGAAUGUUGACCUCGGAUCAGGUAGGAAUACCCGCUGAACUUAAGCAUAUCAAUAAGCGGAGGA
rnacentral:misc_RNA from 1 species